rnacentral:sRNA from 1 species
CGACGCAUGCGCCCGCCGCCC